rnacentral:rRNA from 1 species
AUUUCCUUCGGGACUGAUUAUUUUGUGACUGAGUGGCGGACGGGUGAGUAACGCGUGGGUAACCUGCCUUGUACAGGGGGAUAACAGUUGGAAACGGCUGCUAAUACCGCAUAAGCGCACAGUACCGCAUGGUACAGUGUGAAAAACUCCGGUGGUACAAGAUGGACCCGCGUCUGAUUAGCUGGUUGGUGAGGUAACGGCCCACCAAGGCGACGAUCAGUAGCCGGUCUGAGAGGAUGAACGGCCACACUGGAACUGAGACACGGUCCAGACUCC